rnacentral:rRNA from 2 species
UGGGGAAUAUUGCACAAUGGAGGAAACUCUGAUGCAGCGACGCCGCGUGAAUGAUGAAGGCUUUCGAGUCGUAAAAUUCUGUCCUAGGGGACGAUAAUGACGGUACCCUAGGAGGAAGCCCCGGCUAACUACGUGCCAGCAGCCGCGGUAAUACGUAGGGGGCAAGCGUUGUCCGGAUUUAUUGGGCGUAAAGGGUACGCAGGUGGUCUUAUAAGUCAGAUGUGAAAUCUUACGGCUCAACCGUAAUCAGCAUUUGAAACUGUAAGACUUGAAUCAAGGAGAGGAAAGUGGAAUUCCUAGUGUAGCGGUGAAAUGCGUAGAUAUUAGGAGGAAUACCAGUGGCGAAGGCGACUUUCUGGACUUGUAUUGACACUGAGGUACGAAAGCGUGGGGAGCAAACAGG